UACAUCUUGGAUGGCCUGACGAUAAGUUUAUUUUCAGUACAUUUUCAUUUUGGGGUGAAUUAUUCCGUUGAUGGCCAAGUCUAUCUGAACAUGUUCUUCAGAGUUUGUUUAACAUAUUGUAAGGCUCAUUAUCGAAGUAGAAUAUAUUCAUACUUGUAAAAUCCCAGUCACCAGACUGGUUCCUGCCGGUCAGGAAUCAUGCAGCCUUGAGAUAAGUCAUAAAAAUGAGCGAAACAAACUUUGCGGAGACUGAAAGGAGCCCAUCUGUCUGGACUUGUGUACUAGUGCUGCAAAAACAACACAACCACCAAGGGCCAAAGUUUCAACACUACAAUCAGUUUGUGAUCUUUAAUCGAGUGUGACAAUGCACUUUUGUGCCUCGGGAGCAAAUGAACUGCAUGUUUAGGUCGUUCUGGCAUUGGUGAAGCCUGAGGUUUGGAGGUACGUGUGAAGUGCAGCUUUCAGUGUUGCGGCCCCAUUGCGAAGACUUGAUGUUUUUGUCAUAUGUGGGUUUUAGUUUAUAUGUAUGUAUGUAUUUUGGCUGUUUUAAUAGUCGAGGCAUAUUAUAAAGAGUGUCACAUUUGUACCAUUAAUAUUAUUGCCAAGUAAUGAAAAUGGUACAUUCUUGACUAUCGUGCAAUAUACUCAACGUUAAUUUCAAAUGACCAAACUCUCAUUUGGAGAUGUUUUUGUGAAAUGAAUGCUAUACUUGAAUGAGACCAAACUAGAUAAUGACCUGGUGAUUUUCUAGAGUAUGUGACAGUGUCACCGCUUCGCUGUGCUCAGGAUGAAUCUUUUCGUGUGUAUGAGUGAAUCUCAUGAAUUGUGCCAGGUCAUAUUUCAGAUGUUGCAUAAAUUAUAUUUUGCAUAAUGUUAUUAAUAUU